rnacentral:tRNA from 1 species
GACCGCGUAGCUCAGUUGGAAGAGCAUUGGGGUAGUAUUCCAAAGGUUGUAGGUUCGAAUACCACUGUGGUCA